rnacentral:misc_RNA from 1 species
UUCAGAUAUAUGUUCCUAUCAUUCUGGCUCAUGCAAGUGAUUUUUGGACGUUGAGAUACACAACCACCCUAGACAAUGGUAGCAUUUAUGUCAAAGAUUCCUAUCUGUUACCGGGCUUGAACCACAUCCUGCUGCUGUUUCCCAGAUUGUUAGAGCUCAAAUGGUUUCAUCUAGAUAUCUGAUCCAGUCCUGUGACAAUGGAAGAUCAAUCAUAUAUAUUGUUGACCACCUGA